GGAAGUAUCAUGGCUCAGUGGUAUAGCAGCUGCUUUUCAUGCAGAAGGUUCUAAAUUUAAUCCCUAGCAUCUCCA